rnacentral:rRNA from 1 species
GAUGAACGCUAGCGGCAGGCCUAAUACAUGCAAGCCGAACGGCAAGUUUGAUAGCAAUAUUGGACCUAGAGUGGCGCAAGGGUGCGUAACACGUAUGCAACCUGCCCGCUACAUGAGGAUAGCUCCCCGAAAGGGGAAUUAACCCUCCAUAACACCAUGAGAAGGCAUCUGAUAAUGGUUAAACCGCAAGGGGUCGCGGAUGGGCAUGCGUUUGAUGAGCUCGUUGGCGAGGUCAAGGCCCACCAAGGCGGUUAUCAAUAGGGGUUCUGAGAGGAAGGUCACUCGCACUGGCACUCGGAUCCGGGCCCGACUCGUGCGGGAAGCAGCGGUUGGGGGUAUUGGGGCGUGGUUGCAAGACUGAUCCAGCGAGGCCGUGUGGAGGAAGAUGGCGUUCUGGAUCGUAAACUGCUUUUUACAGUGGAUACAAUACACGUGCGCGGGGAAUUGACGGUAACAGGGGAAUAAGCAACGGCUAACUACGUG